rnacentral:rRNA from 1 species
CCCCACUGCUAUCGGGAUAGGACUAAGACAUGCUAGUCGAGUGGCUCAGCCAAAACGAGUCACGGCAUACAGCUCAGUAACACGUGGCUAACCUGCCCUUGGGACGAGAACAACCCCGGGAAACUGGGGCUAACUCUCGAUAGGCGAAGAACUCUGGAAUGAGUCUUCACCCAAACAGUUUAAGGUUAUGCUCUUUAAACCGCCCAAGGAUGGGGCCGCGACCGAUCAGGUUGUUGGUGAGGUAAUGGCUCACCAAGCCGAUAAUCGAUAGGGGCCGUGAGAGCGGGAGCCCCGAGAUGGGUACUGAGACAGCGACCCAGGCCUUACGAGGCGCAGCAGGCGCGGAACCUCCGCAAUACACGAAAGUGUGACGGGGUUACCCAAAGUGUUCAAUUUUGAACUGUGGUAGGUGAGUAAUGUUCCCUACUAGAAAGGAGAGGGCAAGGCUGGUGCCAGCCGCCGCGGUAAAACCAGCUCUUCAAGUGGUCGGGAUAAUUAUUGGGCUUAAAGUGUCCGUAGCCGGUUUAGUAAGUUCCUGGUAAAAUCGGGUAGCUUAACUAUCUGCAUGCUAUGAAUACUGCUAUACUAGAGGACGGGAGAGGUCUGAGGUACUACAGGGGUAGGGGUGAAAUCUUAUAAUCCUUGUAGGACCACCAGUGGCGAAGGCGUCAGACUGGAACGUGCCUGACGGUGAGGGACGAAAGCCAGGGGAGCAAACCGGAUUAGAUACCCGGGUAGUCCUGGCCGUAAACGAUGCAUACUGGGUGAUGGCAUGGCCAUGAGCCGUGUCAGUGCCGUAGGGAAACCGUUAAGUGUGCCGCCUGGGAAGUACGGUCGCAAGGCUAAAACUUAAAGGAAUUGGCGGGGGAGCACCACAAGGGGUGAAGCCUGCGGUUC